AUGGCUCUAGUGCAGGUGCUGGUGCCCAGAGAAAGAGAGCCAAAGCUGUCCAUUUUGCAGAUGGACAGACGGGACCCACAACACAGCUCACACUGGUGCCCAGAGAGAGAAAGAGUUAAGCUGCUGACCCUGAAGCCAAGGGAAACAUCCAAAAAUAUCCUUAUAAACUUCUACAGAGCCUUUAACUUAGAUAAGGAUGUGUUCAUACACCAGGCCAACCACCCACUAACAGUGCCGUCUAGUGUGGUGAUGGGUGAUAACGGCCAUACCUUGGCAGAAGAUGACAAAAGACUUUGCUUUAGGGUACUACCUUGCUAUCUGGAACGUGUUUCCAGUGGAAUCUCUUUCCUGGAUCUCAGCCCCUCUACCUGUGGGAGCAAUGAAACACCAGCUUCUAUGUGACUUAAUGGAUCUUAUCACGCUUUCUUUCUGGUUAGCAGGUCAGUGCAUGAGCCUUAAAGCUACCAACAUGAAACACUGCAAGUGUUCAAUAGCCACAAGUGACUGGCCAUUGAAUUGGACCGCACUGAUCACAAAACACUUCCAUCAGAAUAUUCCAUCCUAGCACUACUCCAGGUCUUUGUAGGGAAAAACUGUAUGGAUCAUGUUCUACUUCAUGUGGAUGUGAACUACUUGAAGUCCCUGCCCUGA